GUAAGUGAAAUAGAUGAUUUUAAUUGGUGUAAUGUAAGUGAAAUAAAAAUCAACUACUUAAGAAUUUAAAAAUGUAUAACCCUCCAAUUGUUAAAUAAAUAAUUUUUACAAUAGAUUAUAAUCUAUAGAUUGAAAGAUUUUUCAUUUCUUUUUUGAAGGAAGAAAGAUAUUAAAUUUAAUUUUUUAUUUCUUUUCAAAAUAAAUAAAGUCCAAAUAAAAAUUUGAUGGAAAUUAUUUUUCAUUUAAAUUUUUGUUUUCUUUUGGUUCUUGUAUUUUGACUAUUUUCUUCAUUUGCUUCCAAUGCACUCUUUGCGAUUCCCAAUGCACUCUUCGUGAUUCCCAAUGCUUAAACAAGUGGAAGCUCGGUGCCUCAGUUGCUUGCACCGGAGAAACAAACAUCCAUUUCUCUUUCCUCUGAGAACACGUUCUGUUUCUUCUCAAGCAAAUCGACCAGGCCGAACCACACCACCACCGGUGAACUGCGACUGCAACCACUCUCCCUCCAUCCAUCAUCAGUUCACCAUCGCAUCCUCCUCCAUUUUCUGUUUCGAUUCAGCUAUCUUCAUCUCUCACAACAAACACUAAUUGUUGUAAUUUGUAAGGUAAAAUAUGAAAAGGUUGAAGAGCUGUCCACUGCAAGAUUGUGCAUUGAGGAACUAGAAUCUCAGGCAGCAUGUCGACAGAAAGAGGUAGACGUUUCUCCUUAACUGCUUAUUCUAUGGUGGUUGGCUUACAGCCUUGGGAAAGCGAGUUCAUUGAUUCAUGACGCGUUUGGGCUGAAUAUGCAUUGAAAAGGCAGGAAGCACAGGCACAAAAUAGGUGCUUGACCCUUGAGGAUUUGGAAGACUAAUGGGACAGAGGAAUACCACGUAUUAACACUUUGUUUCAGAAGGAUAGACACACUUUGGCUUAUGAUAAAGGAUGGAGGGUGCACACAGACUUUAAGCAGUAUCAAGUUUUAACACCAAAAUCCCUUCUAGUGCGCACAGACUUGAACAAUUACAGAACUGAUGUUAUUCAAGCCCUUGGAGGUGUUGAAGGAAUUCUUGAAACUUGCAAAUAUUUCACCAACCCAGGGAAAAGAGAGAU